rnacentral:rRNA from 1 species
GGGCAGUUAGGCGCGCAGGACAGGCGCACCCAGAAACCCUUUGUGAACUUAUACCUUACUGUUGCCUCGGCGCAUGCUGGCCCCCUCGGGGUCCCUCGGAGACGAGGAGCAGGCACGCCGGCGGCCAAGUUAACUCUUGUUUUUACACUGAAACUCUGAGAAAAAACACAAAUGAAUCAAAACUUUCAACAACGGAUCUCUUGGUUCUGGCAUCGAUGAAGAACGCAGCGAAAUGCGAUAAGUAAUGUGAAUUGCAGAAUUCAGUGAAUCAUCGAAUCUUUGAACGCACAUUGCGCCCUCUGGUAUUCCGGAGGGCAUGCCUGUUCGAGCGUCAUUUCAACCCUCAAGCAUUGCUUGGUGUUGGGGCACUGCUUUUUACCCAAAAGCAGGCCCUGAAAUCUAGUGGCGAGCUCGCCAGGACCCCGAGCGCAGUAGUUAAACCCUCGCUUUGGAAGGCCCUGGCGGUGCCCUGCCGUUAAACCCCCAACUUUUGAAAAUUUGACCUCGGAUCAGGUAGGAAUACCCGCUGAACUUAAGCAUAUCAUAA